rnacentral:rRNA from 1 species
AUUGAACGCUGGCGGAAUGCUUUACACAUGCAAGUCGAACGGCAGCACGGACUUCGGUCUGGUGGCGAGUGGCGAACGGGUGAGUAAUGUAUCGGAACGUGCCCAGUCGUGGGGGAUAACGUAGUGAAAAUUACGCUAAUACCGCAUACGAUCUAUGGAUGAAAGCGGGGGAUCGCAAGACCUCGCGCGAUUGGAGCGGCCGAUAUCAGAUUAGGUAGUUGGUGGGGUAAAGGGCCACCAAGCCAACGAUCUGUAGCUGGUCUGAGAGGACAACCAGCCACACUGGAACUGGGAGACGGUCCAGACUCCUACGGGAGGCAGCAGUGGGGAAUUUUGGACAAUGGGCGAAAGCCUGAUCCAGCCAUUCCGCGUGCAGGAUGAAGGCCCUCGGGUUGUAAACUGCUUUUGUACAGAACGAAAAGGUUUCUACUAAUACUAGGAGCUCAUGACGGUACUGUAAGAAUAAGCACCGGCUAACUACGUGCCAGCCGCCGCAGUAA